CCCGCGCUCCUCCGGGCAGAGCGCGUGUGGCGGCCGAGCACAUGGGCCCGCGGGCCGGGCGGGCUCGGGGCGGCCGGGACGAGGAGGGGCGACGACGAGCUGCGAGCAAAGAUGUGCCCCGGGACCCCCGGCACCUUCCAGUGGAUUUCCUUGCGGAAAGGAUGUUGGCGGUCCCUGUGACCUGUGGAGACACGGCCAGAUCUGCCCUCCAGACCAUAGCUGUCUGCAGUGCAGGAAGCCAACUAUUAAGGGGAAACAAAAGUGUUCUUAGGAGUCCUGCUGUCACUGUGGAUUGAGCCGGUGAAGCCCUGAGGGAUUUCAUCGCUGAGGUGGAUGGAGAAGCAGCUGGGGGCCUUGGCUGUAAGGACCCCUAAGGGCCUGAUCUUUUGGCCAGAAGGAGAUUAAAAAGAUGCCCCUCAAGAUGGCUGUGCCUGUCAGCUGCAUGGAGCUUCGUUCAAGUAUUUUCUGAGCCUGAUGGAUUUACAGUGAUCUUCAGUGGUCUGGGGAAUAACGCUGGUGGAACCAUGCACUGGAAUGACACACGCCCGGCACAUUUCAGGAUACUAAAAGUGGUUUUAAGGGAGGCUGUGGCUGAAUGCCUCAUGGAUUCUUACAGCUUGGAUGUCCAUGGGGGACGAAGGACUGCAGCUGGCUGAGAGGGUUGAGAUCUCUGUUUACUUAGAUCUCUGCCAACUUCCUUUGGGUCUCCCUAUGGAAUGUAAGACCCCGACUCUUCCUGGUGAAGCAUCUGAUGCACGUUCCAUCCGGCGCUCAGCUGGGCUUGAGCUGACCAUACUCCCUGGAGCCUUCUCCCGAGGUGCGCGGGUGACCUUGGCACAUACAGCCAUCAUGAUGGUACUUUAAGUGGAGGCUGAAUCAUCUCCCCUUUGAGCUGCUUGGCACGUGGCUCCCUUGGUGUUCCCCUUUUACUGCCAGGACACUGAGAUUUGGAGAGAAUCCUGUUACACCUGGGAUUUAGGCACUUUCAAUCUGAAAAAAUACAUAUCCUUUCAGCACUCUGGACGGACUUGAGAACUGUCCUUACGUGACCUAAAGCUGGAGUAUUUUGAGAUUGGAGAAUUAAGAGUGUGGGCACCCUGGCUUCAAGCUCACGAGAAACCAGGCCAACAGAGAUUUUGAGAAACACAUUGAAGGAUCUGUUAACACUUGAUAUACCCAAUAAAAGCAGUGGUUGUGCCAGUGCUGAUCUGUCUUGAUGUGAAUGUGAACAAUGGGAACCUGAGCUGAGCAGUUAAUGCUAGGGUGACAGAAACUGGACCUCUCCCAAGACAUGUGACAGAGUAAUACAGCAGCCAACUUCUUCGCCAAAUUAAAGUUUUACAAGAUUUAACCUGUCAUCAAGACCUGGGAUUUUGGUGAGCCAGUCUUGGUGCUCUGUGUUCACCUGGUUCAUCUGAGGAGCUGCAUCUACCCUGCCCAUGCCAUAGAUCCUGCCCUGUUUGCUUCUCCUGUUGCUGCUAGUGGACAUGAGGUAACCACAGCCUAGUUCUGUGAUAAGCUCUUCACACCUGUACCCAUAUGGACUGUGGGAGAGUUUCUCUGAUAUGGACUGUGAUGCGGAAGACAGUGAUGCACUGUAUUCAAGUGAUAGCCCCAGCAGUAACAUUGAUGCAGAGAAAAUGGAAUACUUUUUACAAGAGACCAGAAGACACAUGAAGCUAGAAAAAGGAGCCCAGAAAACUGCCACAUUUUGCCCAUAUAGAAAAGCAUAUCCCGACCGGGCACAGUGGCUCACGCCUGUAAUCCCAGGACUUUGGAAGCCCAAGAUGGGUGGAUCACAAGAAGGACAGAAUAACGGGCUCCCAGAUUCACAAGCCCCACCAAGAGGAUCACCCCAGGAACGCUUGGAGGCUGAGGAGUUCACUGAGGCUACUGCAUCUUGAGACUCAGGAUGAAGACCCAGCUUGGGGCUGUCAAAGGUUUUUUGCAUGUCUGACACCCAUGACUCCACCUGGACCUUAUGGCUCCACCCAGAAGCAAUUCAGCCCAACAGGAGGACAGCUUCAACCCAUUACGAUUUCAUCUCUGCCCCAACCACUCAGCAGCAAGCACCUGUUACCUGUCCACCCCCACCCCUUCCCCCAAACUGCCUUUGAAAAAUCCCUAACCUAUGAGCUUUGAAUAAGAUGAGUACGAACUUCAUCGCCCACGUGGCGUGGCCGGCCUCGUGUCUAUUAAAUUCUUUUUCUACUACAA
rnacentral:lncRNA from 1 species